GUGAGUCAUCGAAUCUUUGAACGCACAUUGCGCCCGCUAGUAUUCUGGCGGGCAUGCCUGUCCGAGCGUCAUUUCAACCCUCGAGCCCCCCGGGGCUUGGUGUUGGGGAUCGGCCGCCGUCUCCGGCCGGCCGGCCCCGAAAUGCAGUGGCGGUCCCGCCGCAGCGUCCUCUGCGUAGUAGCACACCUCGCACUGGAACGCGGCGCGGCCACGCCGUAAAGCAAAGUGGCGCGAGCCUCUUUCUCAUCAAGGUUGACCUCGGAUCAGGUAGGAAUACCCGCUGAACUUAAGCAUAUCAAUAAGCGGAGGA
rnacentral:misc_RNA from 1 species